GACGGAGGAUGCAAGCGUUAUCCGGAAUGAUUGGGCGUAAAGCGUCCGCAGGUGGCAGUUCAAGUCUGCUGUCAAAGACCGGGGCUUAACUUCGGAAAGGCAGUGGAAACUGAACAGCUAGAGUAUGGUAGGGGCAGAGGGAAUUCCUGGUGUAGCGGUGAAAUGCGCAGAUAUCAGGAGGAACACCGGUGGCGAAGGCGGUGGUCUGGGCCGGCACUGACGCUGAGGAGCGAAAGCGUGGGUAGCAAACAGG
rnacentral:rRNA from 1 species